rnacentral:rRNA from 1 species
GAUGAACGCUGGCGGCGUGCCUAAUACAUGCAAGUCGAGCGAACAGACGAGGAGCUUGCUCCUCUGACGUUAGCGGCGGACGGGUGAGUAACACGUGGAUAACCUACCUAUAAGACUGGGAUAACUUCGGGAAACCGGAGCUAAUACCGGAUAAUAUAUUGAACCGCAUGGUUCAAUAGUGAAAGACGGUUUUGCUGUCACUUAUAGAUGGAUCCGCGCCGCAUUAGCUAGUUGGUAAGGUAACGGCUUACCAAGGCAACGAUGCGUAGCCGACCUGAGAGGGUGUUCGCCAAACCGGAACCUAGGACACGUUCAGACUCCUACGGGAGGCAGCAGUAGGGAAUCUUCCGCAAUGGGCGAAAGCCUGACGGAGCAACGCCGCGUGAGUGAUGAAGGUCUUCGGAUCGUAAAACUCUGUUAUUAGGGAAGAACAAAUGUGUAAGUAACUAUGCACGUCUUGACGGUACCUAAUCAGAAAGCCACGGCUAACUACGUG